CUACGGGUGGCAGCAGUGGGGAAUAUUGCACAAUGGAGGAAACUCUGAUGCAGCAACGCCGCGUGGAGGAUGACACUUUUCGGAGCGUAAACUCCUUUUAUAUAGGAAGAAGAUGACGGUACUAUAUGAAUAAGCGCCCGCUAACUCCGUGCCAGCAGCCGCGGUAAUACGGAGGGCGCAAGCGUUAAUCGGAAUCACUGGGCGUAAAGAGCGUGUAGGCGGAUUAAAAAGUCAGAAGUGAAAUCCUAUAGCUUAACUAUAGAACUGCUUCUGAAACUCUUAAUCUAGAAUAUGGGAGAGGUAGAUGGAAUUUCUGGUGUAGGGGUAAAAUCCGUAGAGAUCAGAAGGAAUACCGAUUGCGAAGGCGAUCUACUAGAACAUUAUUGACGCUGAGACGCGAAAGCGUGGGGAGCAAACAGGAUUAGAUACCCUAGUAGUC
rnacentral:rRNA from 1 species